rnacentral:rRNA from 1 species
AUCGAAUGCUGGCGGCAGGCCUAACACAUGCAAGUAGAACGAGUGGCGGACGGGUGAGUCAUGUCUGGGUAAAUGUCUGAUGCAGGGGGCUAACUCCUGUUAACGGUAGCUAAUACCGCCUACCAUCGGCUGUGUCCCGAUGGGAUUAGCUAGUCGGCGGGGUAAAGGCUCACCUAGGCGACGAUCCCUAGCUGGUCUGAGAGGAGGACCAGCCACAUUGGAACUGAAGCACGGUACAGCUACCAACGCGAGGCAGCAGUGUGAAAGAUUGGACAAAAGGCGAAGUCCUGAUGCAGCGAUGCAGCGUGUAUGAAGGAGGCCUUUGGGUUGUAGAGUACUUUCAGCGGGGAGGCGUUACCCGCAGAAGAAGCACAUGGAAACUCCGUACCAGCAGCCGCGGUAAUUC